UGUUAGAAAACGAAUAAUCGUUUUUAGUUUCGACCUAAAAUUUGGCUAAAUUUAGCCUCUAACAA
rnacentral:tRNA from 1 species